rnacentral:lncRNA from 1 species
GGAAUUGGUUGGGAAUUACUUUGGGUUUGAGGUGGGUCAUGAUCGUUGAUUUGGCUUGAACAUGUUCUCGAGCCCAAUGUCAUUUAAUUCUUACUAAACUGCUUCAGAUUGGACUCAACCAGAUCAGACCGUGACUUAAUAAAAGGGUUAAUCAAAUAUUUUCCUAUACAAUUAUAACUUUCAAUCAAAUCAGGACCAAAGCCCAUUUAGUUAUAACCUUAGUCGGGUCAACACAAUCUCCUUAUAUGUUUUUCUGUAGUUUUCAUUAAAGAUUGCAAUCAAGAGAG